UCUGAUGUGAAAGCCCACGGCUCAACCGUGGAGGGUCAUUGGAAACUGGGAGACUUGAGUGCAGAAGAGGAAAGUGGAAUUCCAUGUGUAGCGGUGAAAUGCGUAGAGAUAUGGAGGAACACCAGUGGCGAAGGCGACUUUCUGGUCUGUAACUGACACUGAGGCGGAAAGCGGA
rnacentral:rRNA from 1 species